AGUGAACGCUGGCGGUAGGCCUAACACAUGCAAGUCGAACGGCAGCACAGUAAGAGCUUGCUCUUACGGGUGGCGAGUGGCGGACGGGUGAGGAAUACAUCGGAAUCUACUUUUUCGUGGGGGAUAACGUAGGGAAACUUACGCUAAUACCGCAUACGACCUACGGGUGAAAGCAGGGGAUCUUCGGACCUUGCGCGAUUGAAUGAGCCGAUGUCGGAUUAGCUAGUUGGCGGGGUAAAGGCCCACCAAGGCGACGAUCCGUAGCUGGUCUGAGAGGAUGAUCAGCCACACUGGAACUGAGACACGGCCCAGACUCCUACGGGAGGCAGCAGUGGGGAAUAUUGGACAAUGGGCGCAAGCCUGAUCCAGCCAUACCGCGUGGGUGAAGAAGGCCUUCGGGUUGUAAAGCCCUUUUGUUGGGAAAAAAAAGCAGCAGGUUAAUACCCCGCUGUUCUGACGGUACCCAAAAAAUAAGCACCGGCUAACUUCGU
rnacentral:rRNA from 1 species